AGGAGCUGGUGGGAGGAUGGCGGUUAGAAUUUAUGGCCGCUUUAUCACUUUACCGGCCUUGCCGCGUCUCCUUUAGCCGUGAGGAGGGCAGGAUCUCACGAUGAACUUUGGCACUCGACUACGCUGCACUCGACGAGCGAUUCAAAUAGACAUUAUCUAUCAAAUAUUAACAUGGGUUUCAACAGAAUCGUUAUAUCGGCUUGUUGGACGAAAAUGGAUGUCCUUUCGUCACAUAUCGCAUUAUACGAAUAAAUCAACGUGAAUGAUGAUGCCCUAAUAGCACUACAUGCUAUUUGCGAUCUACUGUUUGAAUGGAUGACGAUUCAAAGUUGGUGAAGACAAAUCAGUUCUGGUACUGAUAAAACAUUUCUCUUAUAUUUAUAAACAAACACUAUUUUUAUCUCAUAAAUAUCAGAGAAAAUUUAAAGAAAAAAAAAAGCUACGAAAAUAAAAUGUUAUUUUACCGACAAAUCAAAAUCGGAUCGUAUCAGAGUCAGGGUUAAGGGUUGAAUCGAAUAAUCAUAUGAUGCACAUCGAUGAUGGAUCCGAUCAAGAAGACGUGUCAUUCAAUAAUGUCACAAUUAAACCAUACAAUUUACGUUGUUCAUUUGGAUUGCCAUUCAAAACUGGCGCCUUUUCGAGGAGACCGGCAACCAUUAGACUACCCCCGUGACAUUCCGAGGUAGAGUAUGAUGGUUCCAUCGAGUAGGUAGUGCCUAGACGGGGCUCCACCCAGCACUUAGUUUACGUCGCGAUUGCGGCCCCGGGCACGACCGUUUCCAGGGUACAGUCACGCCCCUGCCAUGCGAGUACUGUACUCCCAUUCGCUGGCCCAUAUCUCAUCUGGUCCAUCGCAUUAGCCUAAUCUGCCAGCAACGUGAACGGAGAAAAAAAGGAGAAAAAGGUAAAAAAAAAAAAUACGGCCAUAUCGACGUUGCCACUGACGAGAGAAAUCGCGGCGAGGUGCUGCCACCUUUGUGGUAGGAUCGGGAGGUUGACCGGUUGUCGAAUCGAUCUUUUUUUUCUCCUCGCAAGCAACGUUGUUUCGCUCUCAUUUCGACUAGUAGUUCGAUUUCAUUGUUCGUGUGUCGCCAGCAUUAAUAUUUCCUGUACAAUUUACAGUUUGUUGUCGUACCCUGUUUGCGUCGGCUAGAAACCAGAAUCUUUUCCAUUCCGUCAGAUUCAUAAGGAAAACCAUUGGAAUGAUGGUUUAUUUCCAUCAUCGGAAAUCUAUUGCAGUUGCCGUCACGAUGCCGUUUUGCUGAUGAUGCUGCAAAUUCUGGACGAGAGCUGUGGGCCUGGAUUUGUGGAAUGUUAAUGAAAACAGGACAGGCAUCCCUAUACCAAUUUCUGAUUAAACUUUGAAGCAAACUGAACAUUGGAGGAUGUGCUCAAAUAGUUCCGAAUCGUCGAUAGGCAAUACUUUCUGUUCUUUAUUUCUUUCUCUUUAAUUAUUUCGU